rnacentral:rRNA from 1 species
ACAGAGGGUGCGAGCGUUGUCCGGAAUCACUGGGCGUAAAGGGCGCGUAGGCGGCCGAGUAAGUGUGUGGUGAAAGCCCGGGGCUCAACCCCGGGUCUGCCGUGCAAACUGCUUGGCUAGAGCACUGUAGAGGCAGGUGGAAUUCCGGGUGUAGCGGUGGAAUGCGUAGAGAUCCGGAAGAACACCGGUGGCGAAGGCGGCCUGCUGGGCAGUAGCUGACGCUGAGGCGCGACAGCGUGGGGAGCAAACAGG